UCCCUUUAAUUUCAUUUUCCCCUUCAUCUCCAUAAAAACCCUAGUUUCUUUCAAUUCCCAAAUAUCCAUUUCCAUGACCCAUCUCUUUCUCUCUUCAAAUAACGGAACUCUCUUUAAUUAACCACCCUCACACUUUCAUUUCUUGAUGGAUUCAGAUCAAAAACUAGAAAUCAGCAAUUGCUCACAGAGUUCAAGUGAUGAUCAAUUAGAACAAUUAGAAGCAACAACAAAGGAAGAUCAUGAUCAUGAUCAUCAUAAUUAUUCAGAUAAUUUCAACGAUAUUAUUAUCAAACGUUCAUAUGAGUGUAUUUUUUGCAAACGUGGAUUUACCAACGCUCAAGCUCUUGGAGGUCAUAUGAAUAUUCAUAGAAAAGAUAGACCAAAUAAACCUCCAAAAACCUCUUUUUCUUUUUCUUCUUCUUCUUCCUCUUCAUCACUUCAAAGCAAUAAUCAAAUAAUUGGUCCAUCCACUUUCAACAAUAUCCCCUACUUUGGGCCUCUUUUGGGUGAGUCUCAAGUGAAUUAUCAAGCAUCAACUUCUAACCUACAUGGAGAUCAUUUUAAUAUGAACCUUUGGGGGUCAGAUUUGAGCUUACAGAUUGGAUCGACCAACGGGAGGAGGCGACUUUGGAAUAAUGGUGAUGGUGUUGAUUUGGAGCUUCGACUUGGUCAUCAUCAUCUGUAAUCCCGACUCAAGCUCAACUACUUAUUAAGCGUAUGUUCUUGACGGCCUAACAUAUAUCAAAGAUUGGGAAAUGGAAAGAAAUUUGAGAAUGUAGGGUUGAUUUAUACUUAUAGUUACAUGACCUCCGACUUCAAACCUCAAAGAAAUGAGUUCAAGCAAAGAACUGAGUUCAUAUCUAAGAUAGUACUAUCGAGCUCACACAAGAAUAGUUCUAACUUGUAAAAUAAAUAGAUUGUAAAAAAUUGUGUAUGAAAUAUUUAAAUUAUUCUUAGAAAUGAUGUAUAACUAGUACAUAUGUAUAACUCGAAUGAUAUGCUUGGAAGUAAUUAUGUAAAAGUAUCAAGAUCCUCACUUUUCUUAUGUUCAAAA